rnacentral:rRNA from 1 species
UAGGGAAUCUUCCGCAAUGGACGCAAGUCUGACGGAGCAACGCCGCGUGAGUGAAGAAGGAUUUCGGUUCGUAAAACUCUGUUGUUAGAGAAGAACAGCGCAUAGAGUAACUGUUAUGCGUGUGACGGUAUCUAACCAGAAAGCCACGGCUAACUACGUGCCAGCAGCCGCGGUAAUACGUAGGUGGCAAGCGUUGUCCGGAUUUAUUGGGCGUAAAGCGAGCGCAGGCGGUCAAUUAAGUCUGAUGUGAAAGCCCCCGGCUCAACCGGGGAGGGUCAUUGGAAACUGGUUGACUUGAGUGCAGAAGAGGGGAGUGGAAUUCCAUGUGUAGCGGUGAAAUGCGUAGAUAUAUGGAGGAACACCAGUGGCGAAGGCGACUCUCUGGUCUGUAACUGACGCUAAGGCUCGAAAGCGUGGGUAGCAAACAGG